CGUCGCCAGAUCUGGUGCUCUGCCCCGCCGCCGACUCCGACCUCCCCGCCGUGCCGCCAUCGCCGACCUGUCCGCCCCGCCGCCGUCGCCGACCUUCCAGCCGUCCCAGAUCUGGUAUGCAGGCGCCGUCGACCCCGCCUCUCUCUCCGACUCUCCCGCCGCACCUCCCUCUCCCUCUCGCCGCCACCUCUCGCCUCUCCCUCUCCUCGCCGCCGCCGCCGCCGGAAUCUCAUCACUCUGGGGGUCGAGACUGAGAGGGGUGGAAGAGGAAAUCUUCACUCUGGGGGUCGUCGCCUCAAGCACCCAUACCCACACAACGGGUUUCUUCCACCGGCGCCCGGGCGAAAAGGAGCGGGGGACGCGCGGUCCAGCGAGGGGACGGCUUGCGAACGGAACGAGACGGCGUCGACCGGGGGGACGACCCAGAGACACGCAUUACCAGUAACUAACUACUCGGUCAAUCUCCAGGAGGGAGGCCCUCAUCUGUGUAAUGUUGCCUUCACUGAUUCUUUUGUCCAAUUUCCUGAUCCAAUCAGCUGGGCCACUCUUGUUGGCAUUGGCUCUCCACCAUCUGCAUAUGACCUGUACAGCAGCCAGAACAUGUAUGGCGCAAUCAUUUCCAUUAGUCUGCUGGGGCGUUUCAGCGUUAAUAACAUCUCCAGCAGUGGGCAGCACUCCCCGCAGAACAUUUGCAAGCUUUUGAGCAGCAUGCAGAUUGUAUGA
rnacentral:lncRNA from 1 species